CUAGCGGCGGUGGCGGCCAUGUCCUCUCCUUCGCCGCUAGCUGCUACCGAUGCUGACCUUGUGGAGUCACACUCGACAUCCGAGAGCAAAGAGCUAGACACGCGAAGGAGGGGUGUGAGCAGCCUUGGGGAGGAGCCCCGUCUGCUUCAGCUGUGCUUCUGAGGACGCCCUGAGGAUGGUCCUGGGGUCGCCAAAAGAGCCUGGAGACCCCAGGCACGUUGCCACCGUGAAUAACUAAAAAUAGAAAAUACAAUGUCUUCAUAUGGGAAAGUUUGUCAAACAACUGAAAAUUUGAUAUAUACCUGCCAUGAGGAUGCAAUGUCAAGAAAAAGCCAGAAAGACCUGACCUCGAAUCUCUGUUCAGUUACUUUCAGUUGUGAAGUCCUGGAUAUGUAAAUUUGGUACUUGCUCAACACCCUGUACUGCCAAAGAAAUCCUGCGUUAUGUGAUCGAUUCUCCCUGAAUCAGAGUGACAUCCUUGGUCAUCAACUUAUAAUCAAUAUCCUAUUAUUAAUUUAGUGAAGAGUACAAGUCAUAAUACUGUUUCUGUGACAAAUAGUUUUAAAAUAAAUUGAAUUUGAACCA